rnacentral:rRNA from 1 species
UACGUAGGGGGCUAGCGUUGUCCGGAAUCAUUGGGCGUAAAGAGCGCGUAGGCGGCUAGAUAAGUCCGGUGUGAAAGUCACAGACUCAACCUGUGAAUGCCGCUGGAAACUGUCUGGCUAGAGUCCGGAAGGGGCGAGUGGAAUUCCUGGUGUAGCGGUGAAAUGCGCAGAUAUCAGGAGGAACACCAAUGGCGAAGGCAGCUCGCUGGGACGGUACUGACGCUGGAGGCGCGAAAGCGUGGGGAGCAAACAGG